rnacentral:rRNA from 1 species
CGUCGCCUGUUUUAUCAAAAACAUAGCUAAAUGAUUUUUAUAUUUAGUGUUGCCUGCUCAAUGAGAUAUACUUUAAUUGCCGCAGUACCCUGACUGUGCUAAGGUAGCAUAAUAAUUUGGCUUAUAAUUGAAGUCUAGAAUGAAUGGAUUUUUGAAUAAUAACUGUCUUAAUUUAAUUCCAAAAAAGUUUUUUAAUAGGUGAAAAAACCUAUAUUUUUAGAAAUUAGACGAGAAGACCCUUAGAAUUUUAAAUAAUAAAAAUUAAAUUUUUGGUUUUUUGUUGGGGCGACAAAAUUACAUUCUAAACUAAUUUAUAUUUAGUAAUCUAUUUAAGAAAAGUGUUAAGGUGAAUAAAUUACCUAAGGGAUAACAGCAUAAUUUUUUAAUUAGAUUGUGACCUCGAUGUUGGACUAGGAAAUAAUAAAGCUAGCAGUUAUAUUAUAUAGU